rnacentral:rRNA from 1 species
AUGAAUCAAAGCAAAUACUGGAGUGGGACCCUCCAUGCUUUUAGCAGGAAUAUUAUUAAAGAUGGGAGUAUAUGGAUUGAUUCAGAUCAACAUGGAAUUGUUAUCUCAUGCUCAUUAUCUAUUUUCGCCCUGGUUAGUAAUAAUAGGAGCGAACCAAAUUACUUCAAAAUACUCUCCCCCGCUUGCUGCUCGCCUCAGCCAGACGUGGCUCCCUUUAAUAUUAUUCUAUUUAAUGCAAGAGUAAGGAUAGACAUCUUAUUCUUCAGUGUUGAGAUAGAAUGA